GAGGAAUAUUGGUCAAUGGGCGAGAGCCUGAACCAGCCAAGUAGCGUGAAGGAUGACUGCCCUAUGGGUUGUAAACUUCUUUUAUAAAGGAAUAAAGUCGGGUAUGGAUACCCGUUUGCAUGUACUUUAUGAAUAAGGAUCGGCUAACUCCGUGCCAGCAGCCGCGGUAAUACGGAGGAUCCGAGCGUUAUCCGGAUUUAUUGGGUUUAAAGGGAGCGUAGAUGGAUGUUUAAGUCAGUUGUGAAAGUUUGCGGCUCAACCGUAAAAUUGCAGUUGAUACUGGAUAUCUUGAGUGCAGUUGAGGCAGGCGGAAUUCGUGGUGUAGCGGUGAAAUGCUUAGAUAUCACGAAGAACUCCGAUUGCGAAGGCAGCCUGCUAAGCUGCAACUGACAUUGAGGCUCGAAAGUGUGGGUAUCAAACAGGAUUAGAUACCCUGGUAGUCCACACGGUAAACGAUGAAUACUCGCUGUUUGCGAUAUACAGCAAGCGGCCAAGCGAAAGCGUUAAGUAUUCCACCUGGGGAGUACGCCGGCAACGGUGAAACUCAAAGGAAUUGACGGGGGCCCGCACAAGCGGAGGAACAUGUGGUUUAAUUCGAUGAUACGCGAGGAACCUUACCCGGGCUUAAAUUGCAGAUGAAUUACGGUGAAAGCCGUAAGCCGCAAGGCAUCUGUGAAGGUGCUGCAUGGUUGUCGUCAGCUCGUGCCGUGAGGUGUCGGCUUAAGUGCCAUAACGAGCGCAACCCUUGUUGUCAGUUACUAACAGGUUCCGCUGAGGACUCUGACAAGACUGCCAUCGUAAGAUGUGAGGAAGGCGGGGAUGACGUCAAAUCAGCACGGCCCUUACGUCCGGGGCUACACACGUGUUACAAUGGGGGGUACAGAGGGCCGCUACCACGCGAGUGGAUGCCAAUCCCAAAAACCUCUCUCAGUUCGGACUGGAGUCUGCAACCCGACUCCACGAAGCUGGAUUCGCUAGUAAUCGCGCAUCAGCCACGGCGCGGUGAAUACGUUCCCG
rnacentral:rRNA from 1 species